GACGAACGCUGGCGGCGUGCUUAACACAUGCAAGUCGAACGGAAAGGCCCUGCUUUUGUGGGUUGCUCGAGUGGCGAACGGGUGAGUAACACGUGAGUAACCUGCCCUUGACUUUGGGAUAACUUCAGGAAACUGGGGCUAAUACCGGAUAUGAGCUCCUGCUGCAUGGUGGUGGUUGGAAAGUUUCGGCGUUUGGGGAUGGACUCGCGGCUUAUCAGCUUGUUGGUGGGGUAGUGGUUUACCAAGGGUUUGACGGGUAGCCGGCCUGAGAGGGUGACCGGCGACAUUGGGACUGAGAUACGGCACAGAAGCCUACGGGAGGCAGCAGUGGAGAAUCUUGCACAAUGGGCGGAAGCCUGAUGCAGAAACGCAGCGUGCGGGAUGACGGCCUUCGGGUUGUAAACCGAUUUCGCCUGUGACGAAGCGUGAGUGACGGUAAUGGGUAAAGAAGCCACGGCUAACUACGUG
rnacentral:rRNA from 1 species